rnacentral:rRNA from 1 species
AGAGUUUGAUCAUGGCUCAGAGCGAACGCUGGCGGCAGGCCUAACACAUGCAAGUCGAGCGCCCCGCAAGGGGAGCGGCAGACGGGAGAGUAACACGUGGGAACGUGCCCUUUGGUUCGGAACAACACAGGGAAACUUGUGCUGAUACCGGAUAAGUCCGUAAGGAGAAAGAUUUAUCGCCAAAGGAUCGGCCCGCGUCUGAUUAGCUUGUUGGUGAGGUAACGGCUCACCAAGGCGACGAUCAGUAGCUGGUCUGAGAGGAUGAUCAGCCUCACUGGGACUGAGACACGGCCCAGACUCCUACGGGAGGCAGCAGUGGGGAAUAUUGGACAAUGGGCGCAAGCCUGAUCCAGCCAUGCCGCGUGGAUGAUGAAGGCCCUAGGGUUGUAAAGUCCUUUCGGCGGGGAAGAUAAUGACGGUACCCGCAGAAGAAGCCCCGGCUAACUUCGUGCCAGCAGCCGCGGUAAUACGAAGGGGGCUAGCGUUGCUCGGAAUCACUGGGCGUAAGGCGCGCGUAGGCGGCUUUUUAAGUCAGAGGUGAAAUCCUGGAGCUCAACUCCAGAACUGCCUUUGAUACUGGAGAGCUUGAGUCCGGGAGAGGUGAGUGGAACUGCGAGUGUAGAGGUGAAAUUCGUAGAUAUUCGCAAGAACACCAGUGGCGAAGGCGGCUCACUGGCCCGGUACUGACGCUGAGGUGCGAAAGCGUGGGGAGCAAACAGGAUUAGAUACCCCGGUAGUCC